UACGAAGGGGGCUAGCGUUGCUCGGAAUCACUGGGCGUAAAGGGUGCGUAGGCAGGUUUUUAAGUCAGGGGUGAAAUCCUGGAGCUCAACUCCAGAACUGCCUUUGAUACUGAAGAUCUUGAGUCCGGGAGAGGUGAGUGGAACUGCGAGUGUAGAGGUGAAAUUCGUAGAUAUUCGCAAGAACACCAGUGGCGAAGGCGGCUCACUGGCCCGGUACUGACGCUGAGGCACGAAAGCGUGGGGAGCAAACAGG
rnacentral:rRNA from 1 species